AAUGGAGUGCUCACUGUUACUCUGUUCAAGGAAGAAGUGAAGAAGCCAGAGGUAAAGGCCAUUGAAAUCUCUGGCUAGGAACUCUCUAUGGUGC